AAUUUUAUGUCUCAUAAAAUGAUUUAUAUACAAUCUUUUUUACAUUGUUUUUGACAAAUUUAGAUUAAAUUUGCAGUUGUUAUUGAUUUUUUAUGUAAAAAGAGUGGGGUCGACUAGAUCGGGAUCGAACUCAUGUUUGGAUCGGGUUCAGUUUGAUCGGGAUCGAGUGCUAAAUUAAUUUGAUUUGACGCAAACAUGAGGUUGGAAUCAAUUUAGAGAGAUAUUCAAAUUUCUCUGAUUUUAAGCUAUAUUUCUACUCCUGUGACAUCACCUCAGAUGCGUUAUUAGUUUGAACAGUUUGAUGGAUUGUGCAAUUGUCUUAAUCGAUUUCGGAUUAGUCAGCAUGGAGGUAAAAACCUGAUAUCCCAAACCGCGCACUGUAGUGCAGAUAGGUCAAUCCUUCUUUGAAGAGUUGCUUUGUGUUUUUUAACUGAAUGAACCAGAUUUCGAUAAUUCACGGCUACAGAAACAUACAUUUAAAUUGUUUAUAUGAGCCAGGGGCGGUCUCAAGACCCGCGAGCUAGCCAGUUCAAGAGAAUAUUUCUCGACUUUCAAGUGGGUCAGCAGACAUCCAUCCAAAUAGGCAACAGUGAUUGACAAUAAUAAACUUUUACACAAUCAAUAUCACCAGUUCACCAGCAAUAAUUUAAUUUGGCACCACUGCAGUUUCUGGAACCCAGACAUGAAAUACUUGGCAAGUGAUGGGGUUCACCUGAAGACAACAGCUGCGACCACCGGUUCAUGAAGUACCUUCAGAACAUAAAAAGUGCUGCCCUCCAUGCCUCCCAUCUGACUGGAUGGGAGAAUAAUGAUAAGUAGUACAUUGCACAUAUGAUGAUUGAUUGUUAUGCAUCAGUGUUUUCCAUUUAUUUCAAAGUAAAGGAUUAGAGAUCACAAAAUCUCUGUGGAUCUUACAACAAAUUGUUAUUCUAAAGCGACAAUUUUGUCAUUUAUAGAUAGGGAAAACACUGAAUGCAUGUGAUAAAGAUUCUGGCUAAUUCCGCAAUAUGUCAUGUCACAUGUUACACAAAAUAUGACAUUAUAUUAGUGCUUAUUUAAUUUCAACAUAAACCUCGACAUGUCUCUGCACAUUAUGUUACAUGAAUUAAUAAUUUGCUGUCAAUGUCAGCACUUACCAAAAUUUUGGGAAUCGCCAAUGGAUUCCAUCAUAUUAUGUGAAGGCUCCAAUUUGUUUUUCUUAAUCUUCCCAAUGGCCAAUGAAGGUUGGGACGAUUUGUUUAUUUAUUAAAAUAUGGCUGCCUAUCAAUGUUUUAUGUAUGUGAAGGCUCCAGCUGUUUUUGUCAGUGUCAGUACUGGUCAGUAUGGGAAUCGUGAAUUGAUUCCAAUUGAUGUUGGGAAUCGUGAAUUGAUUCCAGUAUGAUUAUGGGAAUCGUCAAUUGAUUCCAUCAUGUUAUGUGUAGGCUACCGUUUGUUUUUCUUAAUCGCCCAAUAUCUGAUGAAGGUUGGGACGAUCUGUUUCUUUAUUUCAAAAAAGGAAUUUGUUUUUCUUAAUCUUCCCAAUAUCUAAUGAAGGUUGGGAGGAUCUGUUUAUUUAUUUAUAAGUGGUUUGCCUAUCAAUGUCUUUUUGCAUGUGACUAUGUGAAGGCUCCAGUUUGUUUUUCUUAAUCUUCCAUGUAUCUAAUGAAGGUUGGAAGAUCUUUUUAUUUAUUUAAAAAAAAAAGGGUUGCCUAUCACUUUUAUGUCACGGUUGAUGAAUUUUAUGAUGACCAUGAUGUACUGACCUGUUUUAAGCUGAGCCGACACUUGUAUAUAUAAUAGAUUGGCAACAUGCAUUGUGAAGAGUUCAAUAACAAAUGAUGAAGAUGAAAUAUGUAAGCAUGUUUGCUCCUAUCCACCAUGUGUUUAUAACUUGGUGGCAAAGAAAAUUAUUAAUUCUAUUAUAUUAUCACCUAUGGCAAUUACAACUGCUUAGACUUAUUGUAGAAUAAAAGGACACCAAAAAAGAGGAAAUGUGAUGGGUCCGAAGCCUCCCAAAAAGGUGAAGUUACGCAGUUAACCGGCUCAAUUGCUCUCUGUGGAUUCAGUUUGGGUAAUUCGAUGGAUUCCAACUGAUCAUCAACUCAAGUGGCUGCUCCAAAAAAUCAGCUGGCAGCAGCAAAUCUUAGACAGCAGCAACAGCCUUGACUCUCAGCAAUGCUUCUACAAACAAGAUCGCUUCAAAGGCUGCACCACUGCACUGCAGACUUCUAUAACAUCUUCUACUGAUUUGAAUAGUUCCUAUUUGGUAAACACCUUUAUAACAGUUGCAUUGCUUUUCCUUAUAACAGUUGCAUUGUUUUUCAGGUGUUCGGUGGCAGAUACAUUUAACAGUAAUAACUAGAUUCUGUCCCAUUAUCGGUAGACAAAUAAAAAAAAAAAUAAAUAAAUAAAUAAAAUCUUUAAUGAUCAUUGCAUUGACCUCAAAAGUUUACUUCUAAAUUUAAAAUAGAAAAAUAUUUCAAUUCAGAUAGAAAAUAAUGUUAAGCAUUAAAUCCUCAGUCAACUAGUUUUAAUUGUAAUGGGAACCAUUUCAGAUGUUCACUAAAUGCUCCCCCAAGUUCCUUAUGUCCUUCCUGGUGUCUUAUUCUCGGCAAGCUUAAUAAAAUAAGGCAAUCUAAUAUUUUAUUCAUUUUAGGGUUUACACACACACAAAUACAUGCACAUACAUAAUGACCAUAUCAAAAUGUUUACACUUUUAAUGCAUUCAUUUUAAAAGCAAUUCAUCAUAAAUAAUUGAAAAUUGGCUAUAUUAAAUAUAUCUGUCAUUUUACUCAUUUCGUGCUCUUUCAAGUGCAUGUAUGUGCAGAUUUACCAUGUCAUUUGGUGAGCACUAUUAAAAGUGCUAUUAUAUUCUGAUUUUUAAAUCAUUUCAUUCUCAAAACAUACAAAUACUUAUAAAUAUAUAUAGAUAAUUUGGCGAUAUAAUGUAUUAUCAGUAAAUGAAGACAUUUUGUGAAAAAUAAGUUGUGCAAUGUGACAUUAAUGAAAAUGUAUUACAGAUUAUAUCUGAGAGACACUUAUGGCUAAGCUAGACAUAGGAGAUGAUGUUAGAAAUAUCCCAAAGCACCUUUAGACUAUCAAUUAACAAUCAAUAUUAUUUGAUAAAUGUUAACCAAUGGGUGCUAGUUCAUCUUGUCAGUUUUAUUUAAGUUUUAAACAGGUCCUUGUAAUGGUUUACAAAAAUGGAAUAAAAAUCAGGCUAAUAUCUCAAAAUGUCUCUCUGAUGUUAGAAACUUCAAACAAUUACGUUUGAGAGUAUAUUUUCCUCUAAAGAAACAAAAACUGUCUUCUCAAUAACUUGUUUGACUAUAUAUGGAAUUGAGGUAGAUUCUAUUUCUAUAGGAAGUAGAUUAUCUAAGACAUGAGAACAAACUUAUUAAUAUUUGACAAAUGUUGAGAGGGAUAGUCCAGGAUAAAUGUUCAAAAUUUGCCUGUCAAGUGGUCACACCUGGUCGUGCAUUGUUUGAGACUCUUCAUAGAUUUGAAUCCUGAGUGUAAUUGCAAACCAAACCAUUACAUAGAAAAUCAACUGCUAAGGAACAUGUUGAAUUAAGGCAAUGUAGCCUUUUAAUAUGGAUCAUUUUUGUGGCAAGUCAAUAUUUCAUCAGUAUUAGUGGUGUUCUUUACAGAAGCUACAAUUAUAAGUAGAUAGAUGUAUCUGGUGCUUUGGGUUUAGAAACUGUAUAAAGUUUAAAAUGGUCUGCUAAAUCUUAGUUAGAUAUUCAUAUAGAUUGUCAAAUUUAUCUUAAAGUUCUUCCAAUCAUUUUUCUAGUAGACAUUUGGGUCCCAUAUUUCAGUUAUAAAAAUUUGCCUUUUAGCUGAUAAUACAGCAUUUAUACCUUCAAAACUCAUAGUUUACUGUUUUAUCUUCCAUCUACAGAAAGAAUUCUUUGCAAUUUUUAAUUUUAUGAACCAAAUACUGUCUCCUCUAUGGUAGGAAAGUUGUCAAAAGAGCCAAGAGUUUCCAAUCACAAAACCCAUCUUAAUGAAUUAGUAUCUGACUUAUUUCACACUUUUCAAGAAGCAGAUACAAGAACCAACUAUCAGCAAUCUUCCUGAUACCUUGAACAUUUUUAUGCACUUAGGCAAACUCGUUCCUAUAAACAACACAUACAACUCAAAGUAAUUCAAAGACAAGCCAUAAUAUUUCUUGAUGAUAAUUCACUUUACAUAACAAUGAGAUAUUCCAAUCUAUAAAUGAUAGGCAUCCAGUGGUACAUACUUUAACAGCCAAUGACUUAAAAUGUCAAUUUUGUCCAGUUCAUGCCUUAAAAGUAUACAUUACUUAACAUCAACACACAUCUAGUCCUUUAUUCACCUUCAAAUCUGAUGAACCAGUUAAGUUCAAUUUUGUGGGAUUCCAAUCAAAACAUGCAAUACAGUAAAACUCGUUUAGUACGAACACAGAUAUUUCGAAUUCACGGAUAUAGCGAAGUCAUUUUUAAUCUCCAGCUAUAUAAAUUUAAGAAUUUCUUAUACGGUUAAAACGAAUUACGGAUAUAGCGAAGUAAUUUCAAAGGUCCCAGCGACUUUGUUAUAACGGAGUGUUGCUGUAUAAGUUUUCAACUGAUUGCUUUACUUUGGUCAUAGUUUUUUGUGUUUGUACUGCAAGUUUUGUACUGCUAGUGGCAGCUUAGAAUGGUUUAUCUGAAAUUGUAAUCCAACAACUCGGUCGUUGGCACUCAAAGACGUUACAUUAAAAUAAAUGCAGUCAGAUUUUAAAUUCCACAAUUGAUGUUAAGAAUUCUAAACUAAAUGUUUCCCUUAUACAUGUAUUGUCAUUGACUAUGAUAAGAGAGAAGUGAGCAUUUGGUUGUUUCUCUCCAGAAUUUAAUUAGGAUCUGAUAAACUUUUUACAUCAAAUUUCAGUGAUUUAACAUAUAAAUCAGUUCCAAACUAAAUGUUCCCCUUUAACAUAUACUGCCAUCGACUAUUGAAAGAGAGAAGUCAGCAUAUGGUUGUUUUUCUUCAGAAUUGAAAUAGGAUCUGAUAAACUUUUUACAUCCAUUUCAGUGAUUAAACGUAUAAAUCAAUUCCAAACUAAAUGUUUCCCCUUAUAUUAUAUGUACUGCCAUCGACUAUCCAAAGAGAGAAGUCAGCAUAUGGUUGUUUUUGUUUUUUUGUUUUUUUUUUUCCAGAAGUUUAUUAGAAUCUGAUAAACUUUUAACAUCCAUUUCAGUAAUUAAACACAUAAAUCAGGUCUAUUAGGCCAGCUAAUGGUUGCUGUGAUAAAUUGUAAAAAUUUUAUGGCAUCCUUUAAAAAAAAAAAAAAAAAAAAAAAAAACAAAAACAAAAACAAAAAAAAAACAAACAAAUUUAAACCUUCCGAGGUCAGCAUUUAGCUGCUUAAAUGAAAUAGUACUUUGGUCAGUGAUCUUGCAAAGUGUUCGCUUUGAAAAAUAAGUGCUAGUUAGAUGCACAUUUUACUCUUCAUAAUGGCAUUAAAUUUGCGAGCUAAUAUACUUGAGGACAGCACCCAUCUGCUCAUAAAAUUUAUGUAUGUUAGUUGGAAUUCAGCUUUAAAUUUGGUCUUGAGAAUUCUGUAUCAGGUCAGCAUAUGUCCGUUUACAAAAUUGUAUCAUGUCAUGAGCUUAGAAGUUCAAAAAUUUGUGUAUCAGGUCAGCAAACAGCUGCUUAUAAAAACUGUAUGUUAGUUGGAACUCAGCAGGAUUUUGUUCUGAAUUUUGUGCAUAAGUUCAGCAUAUGGAUGUUCAUAAAAUAUUAAUUGUAAAAAUGAGCUCAUGUUGUUUAUGAGGUAGCAUAUGGUCCCCUUUUUAGUCUCGUUAACCUUAUGUUAUUCACAGGUUUAGUAACCUUUGUCCUUUAUAUUUUGUUACUUAUUCAGAUAUAACUUUGUGCUUAUGUGGGUUAUUACAGUAAUAUUUAUGCUUAUUUAGUCAAUACAGUUAUAUGAUAUUCAGUUUACAAUGUUAUUAUCUGUUAAAGAACACAUGUUUGCUACACUUAAUAUUGAGCAGCAUAUAAUUUAUGAAAUGCCUUUCCUUGGGUGGCGCUGCAUGCCUCAUGCAAGCAUUUUGCAUGCUGUGUGGCCUCUUUGUUUACGCCACCUUCUUGUUACACAAACUUGGUAAUCAUUAUAUAACAAUAGCUGGGAUAAGCACUAAGUCGCAAUAUAUCAUAUCUAAGUUGAAACUAAUCAUUAUUUGGCCUUAUCCCAGCUAUAAUUUACAUUAUUGUAUGUAAUAUUGUAUAUUUAUGUGUUUUUGUUCACUUUCGUCAUUUAUUUGGUCAAUAAAUGACAUUUUCACUCAAUUCAAGUUCUCGUGUCUUCACUAGUUUUCAAGUAACAAGAACAAGCUACGGAAAGGCUUUUCAUAUUGUGAAGUUACUUUUAUUAGUGGAAAAGUUGUGGAUAUAAAUACAAUUUUAUGUCUCAUAAAAUGAUUUAUAUACAAUCUUUUUUACAUUGUUUUUGACAAAUUUAGAUUAAAUUUGCAGUUGUUAUUGAUUUUUUAUGUAAAAAGAGUGGGGUCGACUAGAUCGGGAUCGAACUCAUGUUUGGAUCGGGUUCAGCUUGAUCGGGAUCGAGUGCUCAAUUAAUUUGAUUUGACGCAAACAUGAGGUUGGAAUCAAUUUACCGCCACCUCCCCAUCCUCCUCCCAUGUAAUACCAAUAUUUGAAUUUUUGUUGUAUGGAAUUUUUUCCUCAUUGUAUAACAUCAAGCAUUUACCAUGUCGUGUGGCCUCUUUGUUUACGCAACCUUCUUGUUACACAAACUUGGUAAUCAUUAUAUAACAAUAGCUGGGAUAAGCACUAAUUCGCAAUAUAUCAUAUCUAAGUUGAAACUAAUCAUUAUUUGGCCUUAUCCCAGCUAUAAUUUACAUUAUUGUAUGUAAUAUUGUAUAUUUAUGUGUUUUUGUUCACUUUCGUCAUUUAUUUGGUCAAUAAAUGACAUUUUCACUCAA